rnacentral:tRNA from 1 species
GCUCCCUUAGUUCAACGGAAGAACAGUAGAUUUUUAAUCUACCUAUGCUAGUUCGAUUCUGGCAGGGAGUACCA